rnacentral:rRNA from 1 species
UACCAGCACCCCGAGUGGUCGGGACGAUUAUUGGGCCUAAAGCAUCCGUAGCCGGUCCUACAAGUCUUCCGUUAAAUCCACCUGCUUAACAGAUGGGCUGCGGAAGAUACUAUAGGUCUAGGAGGCGGGAGAGGCAAGCGGUACUCAGUGGGUAGGGGUAAAAUCCUCUGAUCCAUUGAAGACCACCAGUGGCGAAGGCGGCUUGCCAGAACGCGCUCGACGGUGAGGGAUGAAAGCUGGGGGAGCAAACCGG